GCCAGGCAUGGUGGCCCAUGCCUGUAAUCCCAGCUACUCAGGAGGCUGAGGCAGGAGAAUCGCUUGAACCCGGGAGGUGGAGUUUGCAGUGAGCCAAAAUUGCACCACUGCACUCCAGCCUGGGUGGCAGAGUGAGACUCUGUCUCAA
rnacentral:SRP_RNA from 1 species